GCGCGUUUUAAUUUUUUUCGAUCCAGAUACCGCGUUUUACGCGCGUUUUUACGCUACAAACAUGGACUCGAAGUUAUCACGCUCCAAUCAA